UACGGGGGGGGCAAGCGUUGUUCGGAAUUACUGGGCGUAAAGGGCUCGUAGGUGGCCAACUAAGUCAGACGUGAAAUCCCUCAGCUUAACCGGGGAACUGCGUCUGAUACUGGAUGGCUUGAGAUUGGGAGAGGGAUGCGGAAUUCCAGGUGUAGCGGUGAAAUGCGUAGAUAUCUGGAGGAACACCGGUGGCGAAGGCGGCAUCCUGGACCAACACUGACACUGAGGAGCGAAAGCCAGGGGAGCAAACGGG
rnacentral:rRNA from 1 species